GUUGCCAUCAGGUUAAGCUGGGGACUCUAAAGGAACUGCCUACGCAAGUAGUGAGGAAGCGGGGAUGACGUCAAAUCAGCACGGCCCUUACGUCCAGGGCUACACACGUGCUACAAUGGCCGAUACAGAGGGCAGCUACCUGGUGACAGGAUGCAAAUCUCCAAAGUCGGUCUCAGUUCGGAUCGGAGUCUGCAACCCGACUCCGUGAAGUUGGAUUCGCUAGUAAUCGCGCAUCAGCCAUGGCGCGGUGAAUACGUUACCCGGGACCUU
rnacentral:rRNA from 1 species